rnacentral:lncRNA from 1 species
UACAAACCACUAGUCCAAGACUAGGGUCAAAGGCAAAGCAAAAAGUCAAAACAGAAGUUGAUAUUUAAUAAGAAGCUUCUUUAUUCAAGCAAGAACAUGUCCUAAAAAGAACCAAGUCUAAAGCAUUAAGCAAGGUCAUCUCAUGAGCAAGAUAUGGCAAAGGCAAUUACAAAGCACACAAUUGGACAACAAGAAUCAAAAU